AUUGAACGCUGGCGGCAUGCCUUACACAUGCAAGUCGAACGGCAGCACGGGGGCAACCCUGGUGGCGAGUGGCGAACGGGUGAGUAAUGCAUCGGAACGUGCCCAGUAGUGGGGGAUAACUAGUCGAAAGAUUAGCUAAUACCGCAUACGACCUAUGGGUGGAAAGCGGGGGAUUCGCAAGAACCUCGCGCUAUCGGAGCGGCCGAUGUCUGAUUAGCUAGUUGGCGGGGUAAAAGCCCACCAAGGCUUCGAUCAGUAGCUGGUCUGAGAGGACGACCAGCCACACUGGGACUGAGACACGGCCCAGACUCCUACGGGAGGCAGCAGUGGGGAAUUUUGGACAAUGGGCGCAAGCCUGAUCCAGCCAUGCCGCGUGCGGGAAGAAGG
rnacentral:rRNA from 1 species